CUGGGCCGAGCGGGUCGGCACGCUCGACGUCGUCCUGGACGGCGUGGGCGGCGACGUGGCGCAGGCGGCGUUCGAGCUGCUGAGGCCGGGC
rnacentral:tRNA from 1 species